rnacentral:rRNA from 1 species
UACGUAGGGUGCGAGCGUUGUCCGGAAUUACUGGGCGUAAAGAGCCCGUAGGUGGUUUGUCGCGUUGUUCGUGAAAACUCACAGCUCAACUGUGGGCGUGCGGGCGAUACGGGCAGACUGGAGUACUGCAGGGGAGACUGGAAUUCCUGGUGUAGCGGUGGAAUGCGCAGAUAUCAGGAGGAACACCGGUGGCGAAGGCGGGUCUCUGGGCAGUAACUGACGCUGAGGAGCGAAAGCGUGGGGAGCGAACAGG